UGGGGAAUAUUGCACAAUGGGCGCAAGCCUGAUGCAGCCAUGCCGCGUGUAUGAAGAAGGCCUUCGGGUUGUAAAGUACUUUCAGCGGGGAGGAAGGUGUUGUGGUUAAUAACCGCAGCAAUUGACGUUACCCGCAGAAGAAGCACCGGCUAACUCCGUGCCAGCAGCCGCGGUAAUACGGAGGGUGCAAGCGUUAAUCGGAAUUACUGGGCGUAAAGCGCACGCAGGCGGUCUGUCAAGUCGGAUGUGAAAUCCCCGGGCUCAACCUGGGAACUGCAUUCGAGACUGGCAGGCUAGAGUCUUGUAGAGGGGGGUAGAAUUCCAGGUGUAGCGGUGAAAUGCGUAGAGAUCUGGAGGAAUACCGGUGGCGAAGGCGGCCCCCUGGACAAAGACUGACGCUCAGGUGCGAAAGCGUGGGGAGCAAACA
rnacentral:rRNA from 1 species